UGCUUGUAUCUUCGUAAAGUCCCAGCCUUUAUACUUAAUUUUUUUCUUUUGGUCUCUUGUGUUUCCCUGGUUUUCUUUAUUUCUUUUUUCUUUAGAUAUUUACCUGCUAAGCUCCUGGUGGUCCCGAGUGACCCCUGCUGUGAGCAGUGGCCUCCCUUUCUAGACUGUCCCUAUCAACCUCAGGGGGACUAGAGUCUAUAUCCAAGGGAUGUCAUGGAGGAGAUCUCUCUUGGUGUUGCAAGGAACAUCAUAACUAAUAUGGUGAUGAAGAAAGGAAAAAAGAAGAGAUAAGACAAAGGGCAAAUGGUAAAGUGAAAACGCCAAAUGCGAUGCUCCCAUUUCCAUGGAAUUCUUUAGAACCCACAAGCAGUGACCUCUGCCUCCUUUCUCAUUGGCCAGGACUGUGGGCUCAUGGGCACUCACAGCUGCAAGGAAAGCUGGGAGAUGAAUCCUUAAGAACUGUCCACACUGCUAAUUUGAACACAGUUGUAUUGUUACUUGAAAGAAGGAGGGGAGGAAUGGAUAUUGGGACAGCAACUUCUUUUGUCUCACACAUUAGGCCAUGUAGCAAGUCUCUAAUAAUUUUGUUUGAAUCUAUGUCUUAUAGAAUCUGUGUCAUGAAGACCAUGCAUUCUGUGCAUAAUGCAAUUAAUUUAGAAAUCUAUAACUAAAAGAUAACUAAAAUAUGCACAGAGUCUGCAUAUUAAAAUAUAUAUUUCUAAAUAACCUAUAGUUUGGUCCAAGACAUCUUGAUGAGAA